rnacentral:siRNA from 1 species
UCGAUGGUUCAGAGCUUAUUC